rnacentral:rRNA from 1 species
UACAGAGGGUGCGAGCGUUAAUCGGAAUUACUGGGCGUAAAGCGCGCGUAGGCGGUUUUGCAAGUCGGGUGUGAAAUCCCCAGGCUUAACCUGGGAACUGCAUUCGAGACUGCAUUACUAGAGUAUGGGAGAGGGAAGUGGAAUUUCCGGUGUAGCGGUGAAAUGCGUAGAUAUCGGGAGGAACACCGGUGGCGAAGGCGGCGACCUGGGUAGAUACUGACGCUGAGGUGCGAAAGCGUGGGGAGCAAACAGG